UGAAAAAAAUCAAAGCUUCCAAACCCUCCUUAUUCUUUCUUCUUCACGUGAAUUAGAAAAACCUCCAAACCCUGCUUCCUUCACCUUUGCUUGCUGCUUAACCAUCGUCCACCAGCGCAUCAACCACCUCGCAGCCGCCGCACCACCGCAGUCGCUGCAUCGUCAAGGAAUCCACGCUGCGCCGCCCAUCAAUCCUCCCUUCCUCUUCGUUUCUUCCUCUCUCGUCACCAGCAACAACCCCCACCGUUCGACCACCGAACGCGACCACCUUCUCUGUGCCCAGCCGCCAUCGUGGCCAUCCACGACCACCCUUCCUCCUCCACGCCGCCGCCACGUCGCUGACCACCAGCUCUCACGACCACCUUGCUUGCGCAACCCCGGCGUCGCCGCCCAGCCUGCGCCGCCGCUGCCGUGCCCCUGCUCGCCGGCAGUCUCUCCCCUCCUCUCUUUAUUCUUGGCGGAGAAUUCUCUUUAGGCGACUUUUGAAAGUGUUAAAGUGACCUAUCAGUUUGUUUACACAAGUCUCUAUGGAUCAAUAAGCAUUGUCCAUCUGCAGGUUUGAAGAUGUUGCAUCAUUGGGAUCGGGAAUAGAGAGCUUGAAUUUAGUUUUGAUUGGCUAAGUUGACUUGGGUUUGUUUAAUUGGACUUUAAACUUGUCGUACUAUUUAUAUUUCCUUAUUUUCGUUGGUUGAUUUUUGGGACAAAACCUGUAAUCGAUUAUUUAUAAACCUAAAGUUGGUUUUAUGUUUUCCGCUGCAAAAUUCUGAAUAAGCCGUUACGUUUUCACACGGGCGAUAAUGCCUUG